AAAUGUUGAAUAUAUGGGAAGGCUUUCUAACUUUAAAAUCUAUUUGUGUUUCACAAGACCAGAAAUUCAUUGAGAUUCAAGCUUUUGAUGUUUGGGUUGGUUUACCUUACAUUAUAUGUGGGUUUUUUUCCUAUUUAAAAUAUCAGAAAAAAAUAUAUAUUCAAACAUGACAUAGUUCUCAACGUACAUUUGGAUAGUUAUAAAUUAUCCUAUGUUAGGAUUCCAUAUCCUUUAAGAUGGAAUUUUUAUCUUCUUGUCAAAGGGAUGAAGAAUUACAUUGUGAGUUUUUCCUUUUGAGUAUAAACCAAAAAUAUAUUAAGCCAGACUUUAUUUUUCUUGUAUUUGUGUAAAAUUAUAAGCAUGUUAGGGAAAAUGGUACAAAAACAAGGUAUAUGUUACUCUUAAUACCAGAGCAAAGUUUCUCUACAGUUCUUUUGAUUUUUGUUUUGUUUUUGUUUUUUGGUACUGGGGAUCGAACUCGGGAUCUUUCUACAGUUCUUUUGAGAAAAUCGGUUUAGAGAUCUGAUUCCAUAACAAUUAGCAACUCUUCAAAAGUAUAUUGAUGCCUAUCAUCAUUCAUAAUGAAUGAUGAAAGAUUUUUAAUUUUAUAUUCUAAUUUUUAAAAAGAGCACUGUCAAAAGCGAUGAUUUGAGGAAAAAAAAUAGAAAAAUAAUUCUGUCCUAAUUACCAUAUAUGCAUUAUUUAUUGCUUUUAAAAGAUCUCUUAAAAUGAUUAAUAAGCACCUGCAGAAUAAUUUUAUUUUCUUCUUGAAAAAAUAGCCAUCUGAACAUGAGGCCCAGCCCAAAGCCAGCACUACAGCUGGAGACAUGACAUAGUUCUGAAACAGUCUUUAGUCACAACUGGGAGAAAAAGACCUUUCUAAAAUGUGCCAAUCUUGUGAGGAAUGGAUGUCAAUUUAGUGUCUCCUGGAAAGGGGGAGAAUGAGAUCAUAUUUCUGAAUUUUAGUGUUGCAUUCUGUAAGUUUGUACUCAUGCCUUUUCUCCCUUCUUUACAAUUGGGGUUUUCCACUUCAUUCUUUUGGGACAUAGUGAACUCUCAGUUUCUAUUGUGUUAUUCUACUUACAUGGCUGAUGGCUUCUUUUCUUUGUUCUUGUUUUUCAAUUUCUUCUAAGCACUUUCUCUCUUGAAUCUGUUUAAUCAAUUGUUUUUGUGAAACAAGUUUCUCCAGUGAAAAUCCUGCAGGAAGAACUGUACUUGAGGUUUUACUUUAUCCUAGAUAUAGUGAUGUGUUUUACAGCUAUGAUCUCACUUAAACAUUUGCAGCAACUACAAUGAAAUUUUAUAGAUAAGAAACAGAAACUCAGUGAGAUUAAAAAAACUUCUUAUGGUCAUGUAGCUAGUAAGUCACAGAGCUAUGUAUAAACACAAACAUGUUCAAAGACCAAACUCAAUCUGUUUACUAUGGUGUUUCCAAAGAGCUGGCCUAUGAUGAGUACUUAAUCCUAAACACAGAUGUCUUACUAUUGUUCUCAUGCUCUGAUUAUCAGUCUACUGCUAUAUCUUUCUUUUUUUGUCUCUUAUUAGUGUAUGUCUGUAAUACAUAAUAGUUACGUUCAUUGUGGAGAAUUGGUACAUACAUAUAACAUCUUGAUUGUUUUCAAUCCUUUUAUCUUCUUUUCCCAGAUGCCCCAUCUUCUUUCCUAUUUCCAAAAAAGACUGUCUUCUUGUUUCCUACCACCUUUCCUUUAUCUUAUUUAUUUAUAUUUUAGAUUUCUCAUACAAGAGAAACCAUGUGCUAUUUAACUUUCUGUGUCUUAUUUAAUUUCUUUUUUUUUAAUUCACUCAACAUUAUGGUCUCAACAUCCAUCCAUUUUCCUGCAAAUGACAUGAUUUCACUCUUCUUUAUGGUUAAUAUUCAUAUGUAUCUAUGAAAUACAUUCAUAUGUAUAUAUAUAUAAUUUUCUUUGUCCAUUCAUAUGUUGACAGGCAUCUGGCUGUUUCCAUGGCUUAGCUAUUAUGAAUCAUCAUGCUGUAAACAUGGUCAUUCUGGAGCAUAUUGUUUAAUUCACACAUAUCAAUGUCUUCAAAAAUCUUCAGUAAAAUAUAAAUGAAGUCAACAUCAUAUCAAAAAGAUCAUACAUCAUGAUCAGAUCCUUUGUGUUAUGAAAGCCCCACGUGUGCAUUUCUCUAAAUGAAAGUCUCCUGAACUUAAACCCAUGGACAUUUUAAAGAAAAUGCAGUAAGCCAAUGCUUCCUUGGCUAAAAACGUGUCUGUGCUCUGCAAACAAUGAACAGAACCCAGGAAGGGAGAUGCAGACCGCCUGCUGAGCCAGUCCUAGUUCUCUUCCCUGGAAAUCUUGUCCUUGCACAGAACUUCUGGAAACCAAUAAAAGAAAACUAAUGUGCUACCCAGAGCAGAGAAAAUGGAAAUCUGCUGAGUUAAUAUUGUGGGUCAUAAAAGUCACUCAAAGAGAAUUCUUUCAAUAAGGUGCCUACCAUAGUGGUUAUAUAAUUCUUCCAUGAAACUUACUUUUCUCUUUCUGAAAAGAAGUUUUGUUUUUUCUCUCAAAGAAUAAUGGUACUGCUUAACAUCCCCAGAACACAAUGUGAAUGAGCUUUUAAAAUUUUAUUCUAAUUACAAGAGAAAUAUAUUCUGAGUAUAGAAGAUGAGGAACAUAGAGAAAACCCUGAAGGAAUCAAACAACCCUAUUGUGAGAUAAAACUCAGGUAACAUUUUGGGAUAUUUAACAAUGUCUAUUGCCUUGACG
rnacentral:lncRNA from 1 species